CAAAAAAAAAAAAAAAAACAAAACUUAAGUGAAGUUUAUCUUGUGAUUUUUUAUUUAAUAACAUGAAAUCCCCAAGUUUGAGCAGAGAAAAGGUAUUAAAUUUGCAACUGAAGAAGGAGAACUGCAGUCCUUAAUAUCCAGAAUGACAACCAUCAAUCACCAACUAAGACUGACAAGUUACAUGCCAAUGUUCCUAAUGCAAUAAGCCAAUAACAUACCAUGUAAAAAUGAUUUUAAGAAGAGCAGCUGCUGAUAAGGGAGUCAAUUGCCAACUACAGCACUAUGCAAAAUCUAAUUUGCAAUAGUAUCAGCACCUUUGCUAGCUAAUCCUUUAAUCGAAUUUCUAGCAAAGUACAAGCAAUAUUCAUGAAAUUACUAGAAACCACAUAUUAAACAUUAUCAUUCAAAAUUAUACAUGGUAUAAGAGUAUAGGAGAACUUACAGCGCGAAAAGGGAAGUCAUCUG
rnacentral:misc_RNA from 1 species